UGGGGAAUAUUGCACAAUGGACGGAAGUUUGAUGCAGCGACGCCGCGUGGAGGGUGUAGGCCUUCGGGUUGUGAACUCCUUUUUCUCGCGAAAAAGGCACAGAUUUGGCUGUGUUGAUGGUAGUGGGGGAAGAAGCGCCGGCUAACUACGUGCCAGCAGCCGCGGUAAUACGUAGGGUGCGAGCGUUGUCCGGAUUUAUUGGGCGUAUAGAGCUCGUAGGUGGUUCGUCCCGUCUGUCGUGAAAGCCAGCAGCUUAACUGUUGGUCUGCGGUGGGUACUGGCGGGCUUGAGUACGGUAGCGGUGACUGGAAUUCCUGGUGUAGCUGUGGAAUGCGCAGAUAUCAGGAGGUACACCGAUGGCGAAGGCAGGUCACUGGGCCGUUACUGACACUGAGGAGCGAAAACGUGGGGAGCGAACAGG
rnacentral:rRNA from 1 species